GUUGGGUAGGGGAGCGUUCUGUAAGCCUGUGAAGGUGGCCUGUGAGGGUUGCUGGAGGUAUCAGAAGUGCGAAUGCUGACAUAAGUAACGAUAAAGCGGGUGAAAAGCCCGCUCGCCGGAAGACCAAGGGUUCCUGUCCAACGUUAAUCGGGGCAGGGUGAGUCGACCCCUAAGGCGAGGCCGAAAGGCGUAGUCGAUGGGAAACGGGUUAAUAUUCCCGUACUUGGUGUUACUGCGAAGGGGGGACGGAGAAGGCUAUGUUGGCCGGGCGACGGUUGUCCCGGUUUAAGCGUGUAGGCUGGUUUUCCAGGCAAAUCCGGUUCACUUUAAAACUGAGGCGUGAUGACGAGGCACUACGGUGCUGAAGCAACAAAUGCCCUGCUUCCAGGAAAAGCCUCUAAGCAUCAGGUAACAUCAAAUCGUACCCCAAACCGACACAGGUGGUCAGGUAGAGAAUACCAAGGCGCUUGAGAGAACUCGGGUGAAGGAACUAGGCAAAAUGGUGCCGUAACUUCGGGAGAAGGCACGCUGACACGUAGGUGAAGUGAUUUACUCACGGAGCUGAAGUCAGUCGAAGAUACCAGCUGGCUGCAACUGUUUAUUAAAAACACAGCACUGUGCAAACACGAAAGUGGACGUAUACGGUGUGACGCCUGCCCGGUGCCGGAAGGUUAAUUGAUGGGGUCAGCGCAAGCGAAGCUCCUGAUCGAAGCCCCGGUAAACGGCGGCCGUAACUAUAACGGUCCUAAGGUAGCGAAAUUCCUUGUCGGGUAAGUUCCGACCUGCACGAAUGGCGUAAUGAUGGCCAGGCUGUCUCCACCCGAGACUCAGUGAAAUUGAACUCGCUGUGAAGAUGCAGUGUACCCGCGGCAAGACGGAAAGACCCCGUGAACCUUUACUAUAGCUUGACACUGAACAUUGAGCCUUGAUGUGUAGGAUAGGUGGGAGGCUUUGAAGCGUGGACGCCAGUCUGCGUGGAGCCGACCUUGAAAUACCACCCUUUAAUGUUUGAUGUUCUAACGUGGACCCGUGAUCCGGGUUGCGGACAGUGUCUGGUGGGUAGUUUGACUGGGGCGGUCUCCUCCUAAAGAGUAACGGAGGAGCACGAAGGUUGGCUAAUCCUGGUCGGACAUCAGGAGGUUAGUGCAAUGGCAUAAGCCAGCUUGACUGCGAGCGUGACGGCGCGAGCAGGUGCGAAAGCAGGUCAUAGUGAUCCGGUGGUUCUGAAUGGAAGGGCCAUCGCUCAACGGAUAAAAGGUACUCCGGGGAUAACAGGCUGAUACCGCCCAAGAGUUCAUAUCGACGGCGGUGUUUGGCACCUCGAUGUCGGCUCAUCACAUCCUGGGGCUGAAGUAGGUCCCAAGGGUAUGGCUGUUCGCCAUUUAAAGUGGUACGCGAGCUGGGUUUAGAACGUCGUGAGACAGUUCGGUCCCUAUCUGCCGUGGGCGCUGGAGAACUGAGGGGGGCUGCUCCUAGUACGAGAGGACCGGAGUGGACGCAUCACUGGUGUUCGGGUUGUCAUGCCAAUGGCACUGCCCGGUAGCUAAAUGCGGAAGAGAUAAGUGCUGAAAGCAUCUAAGCACGAAACUUGCCCCGAGAUGAGUUCUCCCUGAGACUUAGAGUCUCCUGAAGGAACGUUGAAGACGACGACGUUGAUAGGCCGGGUGUGUAAGCGCAGCGAUGCGUUGAGCUAACCGGUACUAAUGAACCGUGAGGCUUAACCUUACAACGCCGAAG
rnacentral:rRNA from 1 species